AGGUUUGAGGGUGAUCUAGCAGUGACACCUGCUACUCCAUUGAUCAUCAAGAUUGAUUCUGUCCAUCUGCCUGGCUACAAGUAUGUCCCCCUUCUUUGCACACCACUCUGUGAGCAUCCCUCUUGAAGUUCUAUAUCUGGCAGGAGAAGACAGCCAUCCCCAACAAAGGGGGACAGUUGUUCUGUCACAGGGUAUGUAAAUGGAUAUGCUCUCCUGCUAGAACUCCCAAACAAGUUCCCAAGGCCCAGAAUAAAGCUUUUCUUCAACUAUGCAAUGCUAUCAAAUCACUUGAAAGAGAUGGGCAUU
ensembl:misc_RNA predicted gene, 22794